AGGUCGACUAGCUCAGCUGGUUAGAGCGUGGUGCUAAUACUUCUCCUGUUAACGCCAAGGUCGUGAGUUCGAUCCUCGCGUUGACCUG
rnacentral:tRNA from 1 species